rnacentral:lncRNA from 1 species
GCAUUAAUUUACCAGAGGUCGGGUCAGGCUGUCUUAACGCAGGCAGAGGGGUGUGGCAGAUCUCCAACCGCUCGGGGUCCCGUGAUUUCCAUUAAUGAAUUCGCACACUGGCGUUACCACUCAACACACCGACGGUAAGUAUGGAAAUAAGAAAAUGAGAAUUAAAACUUCCCCAUUGUAAUGCUUUUUCUUUUUUUGUGUGUGAAUAGAAUUUCUGGGAGGUAAAAGUUAUUUCUCAAAAUCUUUGUAUUCUUCACAUUACCUAAUCAGAUGACUUGCAGUUAA